GAUUCCGUUACAGAAUUCGGAUUGAUUUAACUGGGAAACAGCAGAACAAAAGAGUGGUCGUACAAAAGGGUCAUAGUACUCAGAAAAGUAAGCUUUAUCGUUGUGAACAGGAUUACCAGGUCAAAAUUUGAAAAAUCUGGCAGACAAAAUUUAACCAUUCUGAUGGUAGAGGAAGGGGAGCCUCAAAAAUUAUGUUCCGUUAAGAAAAACACAUUUUGUAUUUUGGUUUCAUAUGUACUCGAUCAUUAAAAAAAAUGUUCAAAAUAGGCAUAAAGUGAAAAAUCUGCCAAAAUCUAGCACAGAGGAGGAUAAAUCUUUAAUCAGGCUGACACUUGGAAAAACUGGCAUUUCCAGAUUUAUCUGGCAACCCUGGUUGUGAACAACAUCAGGAAUUUAAGCUAAUUUUAGGAUCCAAUUCUAGCAGGGUUCUUACAAAGCGGCUCUGCUAGAAUCGUGCUAGAACGAUGGAAUGCUGUAAGAAAAGCCUGCUGCUAGAACGUCGUGACUGGGUGGGCAUGUGCGAACACAACACAUUAUUUUAAAUAUUUUUAGUUUAACUAGUUUGUAUUUGUAAUUCAUUGUGAUUAGAACCGUACAUAAACAUGUAUAUUUUGUUGAUUCAAUCACUUAAACUCCAGCUUACCAGUCAAUAAAUGCAAUGAUGAAGUAACAGACACAGCGA